GGGUCUAUGCUUUCUCAUGCCCUGUCUUUUACCCUCUCAUGGCCAGACUGAUCCGCUGAUUAACUAAUAAGACACAGCUGUAGGCAUUCAGUGGGGUUGGGUGGCCACGGCACAGAUUGGCUGAACAAUAAUUGCCAUGAGGAUAAAAAGACUUACAGCGGUGAGAGACGGGAUUCCACGACAGAGCCAAGGCGACGGGCUGCAGGAUCCGCGGCUGUUAUCUGCGCCACUGCCAUUGCCGCCGCAGACUGGUACAACGCUGACUACAACGCCUGGGUCCCGAGGGAGCGCGAGUUGGGAGACAUCUAAACAGAAAUAUUGUUCGGCGCUCUCAAACGUAUCCACAGGAACGUUGGUUUAAACGAUCAAUUACAGAGUGAGUAGGCUGUCGUGGUUGUUGGCCAGGGAGAGCUCACGGUUUGUUUGUUGUCCACAGAUACCAAAGCAGCACGAAACGAAACUACUGACGUUUCCUGGAAUCCUGAGGGUGACGUCAUCCAGGUUGGCGAAACCGCAUCGUCCCCAUGCCAACAGACGCAACCAGGCGUCAAAAUAAAAGUCCCGGCCACCCGUGAGGAACUUAAAGACACUGGUCGUGCGCCAAACUAAAAAGAGUACCAUAAUGGCUGUGGUUAACAGAUGUCUGAAGGUCCUCUUCAUUGGAAUAAACAUCAUACACAUAAUUUUAGCUGGUGUGGUUUUUACACUAGCUGUUCUGCUGGGCUACAACACCCAGGUUAUAAAUGUGGGGCUUGUAAUGAUAGCAAUGUGGCUACUGGCUUCAAGUCACUUGGUGGUGGCUAGCCUUGGUAUCCAUGGUGCCAGAGAAGAGAAGAAGGUGCCCCUGAUCGCGUUUAUUUCAGCAAAUGUGAUUGAUCUGACCUUAAUGCAAUUGCAUGGGGCACAGCUUGCCAAACCAGAUAUACUGUUGAGCCAGUUGAGGAGUAUUGAUGCUGAAUCAGCUGUCAGCUUUGGCCUUGCUGCCUUAUGGUUGACCGGGAUUAUCCUGGCAGCCAUGAUCAUGCAACAGCUCCACAGCCGGCAGGCUGCCAUGACAGAUGUUGAGGGUAAACCCCCAGGAUACUCUCAGAUGUUGAGGGUAAACCCCCAGGAUACUCUCAGAUGUUGAGGGUAAACCCCCAGGAUACUCUCAGAUGUGCCCAAUGAGCAGCAAGUGAGCAGAGAGCUGGACACACAGGAUUCUCCCAAAUCACCACACAGCUAAUGACACAUAUUAAAGAAUUACACAUGACUAAGAAUGAAGUCAAAAUGUCUGUAAAGUAUCUGAAAAAUCUCUGCCUCUCUCUCUCACACAACAAACACACACACACACACACACACACACACACACACACUUAAUGGCACAUAUUAAAGAAAUACAUAUGAAUAAGA
ensembl:lncRNA